UACGUAGGGUGCAAGCGUUGUCCGGAUUUAUUGGGCGUAAAGAGCGCGUAGGCGGCACGGUACGACCGGUGUGAAAGCCCCCGGCUCAACUGGGGAGGGUCACCGGUAACGGCCGAGCUAUGAGUGCAGGAGAGGGAAGUGGAACUCCGGGAGUAGCGGUGAAAUGCGUAGAGACCCGGAGGAACACCAGUGGCGAAGGCGGCUUCCUGGUCUGCAACUGACGCUGUGGCUCGAAAGCUAGGGGAGCAAACGGG
rnacentral:rRNA from 1 species